rnacentral:rRNA from 1 species
CGAGGAGCUUGCUCCUCUGAUCAGUGGCGAACGGGUGAGUAACACGUGAGCAACCUGCCCCAGACUCUGGGAUAACAGUUGGAAACAGCUGCUAAUACCGGAUACGAGACGGAGAGGCAUCUCUACCGUCUGGAAAGUUUUUCGGUCUGGGAUGGACUCGCGGCCUAUCAGCUAGUUGGUGAGGUAAUGGCUCACCAAGGCGACGACGGGUAGCCGGCCUGAGAGGGCGACCGGCCACACUGGGACUGAGACACGGCCCAGACUCCUACGGGAGGCAGCAGUGGGGAAUAUUGCACAAUGGGCGAAAGCCUGAUGCAGCGACGCCGCGUGAGGGAUGACGGCCUUCGGGUUGUAAACCUCUUUCAGCAGGGAAGAAGCGAAAGUGACGGUACCUGCAGCAGAAGCACCGGCUAACUACGUGCCAGCAGCCGCGGUAAUACGUAGGGUGCGAGCGUUGUCCCGGAAUUAUUGGGCGUAAAGAGCUUGUAGGCGGUUUGUCGCGUCUGCAGUGAAAAUCCGAGGCUCAACCUCGGACUUGCUGUGGGUACGGGCAGACUAGAGUAUGGUAGGGGAGACCGGAAUUCCUGGUGUAGCGGUGGAAUGCGCAGAUAUCAGGAGGAACACCGAUGGCGAAGGCAGGUCUCUGGGCCAUAACUGACGCUGAGAAGCGAAAGCAUGGGGAGCGAACAGGAUUAGAUACCCUGGUAGUCCAUGCCGUAA